CACUUGGAGACGAUAUGAGACGUACAUCUUCAACCCGAAGCCAACCCGAAGGUACAGGUAUGGCCGGGGAGGAAAGACGCGAGGCGGCGGCGGCGGCGGCGGCGGCUGAGUCCGAGGUGGUGGCCAUAGGGAGAUAACGACUGAGGUAGUGCGAGAGGAGAACUCAUGUCGAAAGGAAGCGCCGUGGUCAUCGACAAUGGGGCUGGGCUGUGCAAGGCCGGUUUCGGCGGAGAUAUGGAUCCUAUCGCCGUCGUCCCCAAUAGCCUCGGCCGUUCCGCCAAUUCGAAAAGGUGGCUGGUGGCGGACGAGCUCCGUGCUGCCGAUGCUGACGUGACUUCCGUGUCCCUCCGACGGCCCUUUGACCGCGGCUACCUCGUCAAUCCGGAUCUCCAGAGGGAGGUGUGGGAAAGGGUCCUUCGGACCCUGCUCCGUGUGGACCCUGCCCGCUCCUCGCUCCUCCUGGUGGAGCCUCUUUUCAACCCGCUGGCCGCCCAGCGCACCACCGACGAGAUCGUCUUUGAGGACCUCGGCUUCCGCUCCCUCUGCGUGGCCGACUCACCGUCCCUCGUCCAUCUCUAUGAGGCCAGUCGCCGCACGGACUGUCAGUCCCACUCCCAGUGCAGCCUCGUGGUGGACUGCGGUUUCUCCUUCACCCACGCCGCCCCCGUGGUCCACAACUUCACCCUCAACUACGGGGUCAGGCGCCUUGACCUCGGCGGCAAGGCUCUCACCAACUACCUCAAGGAGCUCGUCUCCUACCGCUCCGUCAACCUCAUGGAAGAGACCCUCAUCAUUGACCACGCCAAGGAGAAGCUCUGCUUCGUUUCCCUCGAUGUACCCCGCGAUCUCCGCGUCGCCAGAAGAUCUGGAAAAGACAAUCCUUUCAAGUGCACAUAUGUUCUCCCUGAUGGUAUUGAACAUACUAAAGGCUAUGUCAAGGACUUUGAUGAAGCAAGAAGGUACCUUUCUCUGCCAUAUGAGAGCUCAUCCACAGAUUCCGGGCUGAAGGAAGAAAUGUCACCCUCUCAACACAAUGCAGAGAAAUCUGUGGAGCAGAGGAGAAUUGACUUGACACAAAAUGAGUUUACCCUGACAAAUGAACGUUUCCUUGUUCCUGAAAUGCUUUUCCGUCCUUCUGAUUUGGGUAUGAACCAAGCUGGACUAGCUGAAUGCAUAGUCCGUGCUGUAAAUGCUUGUCAUCCUCUUCUUCACCCUGUGCUCUUUGAGAGCAUCAUAUUGACUGGUGGAAGCUCAUUAUUUCCUCGCUUUGCUGAAAGACUAGAAAGGGAUCUUCGACCUCUUGUGCCUGAUGAUUAUCAAGUGAAGAUUACUUCACAAGAAGAUCCUAUUCUAGGUGUAUGGCGAGGUGGUUCGCUGUUGGCAUCCAGUCCUGAAUUUGAAUCAAUGUGCAUCACGAAGUCCGAAUAUGAAGAGAUUGGAUCACCCCGCUGUCGACGUCGCUUUUUUCACUGAAUAUUCGAUUAUGUCUAGGCUUUAGGAUAUCAGUCAAUAUGGUUUUAGUGCCAAAUUGUAUAAAACAAAGCUUCGGCUAGAAUUCAUGCAUUAGCUGGGGUGAGAAAAUAUUUAGUGACACUUUCAGAGCUUGGGAUAGGCAGCAGAGGGUCAUCAAACAAGGAUGUAGGAAACCUAGGAUCAUCUGACGAUCCUAUGUAUCCACAAUGUUCAAUUUCAUGUUGUGUUCUGCUCUUACCAAAGGGCUAUAUUGUCUGUGGUUGCUGGCUAGCUAUGAUUCCAGUUCAGGUUUGUUUUACUUCUUUAUGCAUUAUUAAGUAUCUUUACGGUGCAUCCGUAAAGGCCGUCAUCAAAAGGAUAGCUGAUAUGAUAUUGUUUGUGCAAGAAUCCUUAGUAUUAUUUGUGUCAUGGGCUAUAAUAUAUGAGAUGUCUAUAACAUAAGCUAUUAUAGUGCAAUUGUAAAUAGUGAUGCAUAAGUGCAAUUGUAACCAAAAAGAAAUAUGCUUUGUUGACAAUUUGGAGCCCAUCUCAAGGCUUCCAUAGCCUUAAAAAUAAACGCCAAGACCACACAUCAAUGUCCGUGGCUCUCUUUCUUCUUUGAUGCUAUAAUCUAAUAGAUUAAAUAUCCUGUGUGCUUUGAGCACUUAAAGAUAAUUUCUAGAAUGAACUAUUAGGCUUUUAUGGUUGUUAAUUGUUAUGUAUUCAUCCAAAA